rnacentral:lncRNA from 1 species
AACUAUCCGAUUUUAUAGUUGACUCUGACUGUAGAUGAUUACAAUAUUUUACGUUUUCCGACAACAAUGAUCUCUUCUUUGUUGUGGACUGUGAUAAAACAAAUUUCAUAGGAAACAAAUAUUUAUGAGUCAAAAAAUAGUGCGACCAUAGAUUGUAGAUCUAAAACACAAGCUUGUUUACAAACUCCAUUUUUUUAGUAAUCAACCAUGGAAGAAUUCUGAACCGUCGCAUAUGGUCGUUGCGUAUUGUUGCAUACCGUUGAUGUAGGAGACUUCGAUUUGUCCUUCGUAGUCGCUGAGAAUGUUGUCAAAAAGAGAAAUCAUGGGGUAAAUGCACAAAAAGUAGGUUAAUAGAAGUCGGUGAGAGCGAUGGGUGUAUAGGAAACUACCUAUCUUUCUUCUUACCGUCUUUCACCAUUGUUUAUUUUUUUUGGUUUUCUGGUUUUCU